rnacentral:lncRNA from 1 species
UCUGCUUUCUUUGAUAAGGAUGUCGAAGGUUGAACUGUAGGCAUUGUUGGUGGUGUUGUACGUACUGGAGCUUUGGGUGCUUGUACUAUUUUUGGAAUAUUGCUCCUAUUCUUCUUCCUUUCUCUUUUUACAAGCAAUCCCACCGCAUCUUCAAUAUUCUUCCACUUUGUUGUCAAUCCUUCAUUUUCUUCUUCAACUUCAAGAAGGAUUUCUAAUUUUCCUUGCAAUUCUCUAUCAGCAGCUUGAAGAAAUAGAUCAACUUUGUUCGGCUCCAAUGUCAAUUUUUCUACCUUCGAUAAUUGAGAGUACUGCCUCUCAAAUUCUCUUAGUAGCUCUGUUGCUUGCAAAUUCUUAUUAGACCG